rfam:Otolemur garnettii contig171249, whole genome shotgun sequence.
GCCAGAUGCGAUGGCGCACACCUGUAGUCCCAGCUACUCAGGAGACUGAGAUGGGAGCAUCGCUUGAGUCCAGGAAUUCUGGGCUGUAGUGUGCUAUGCUGAUCAGGUGUCUGCACUAAGUUCAGCAUCAAUAUGGUGACCUCUGGGGAGCAGGGUGGGGGCCACCAGGUUGCCUAAGGAUGGGUGAACUGGCCCAGGUCAGAAACAGAGCAGGUCAAAACUCCCAUGCUGAUCAGUAGUGGGAUCGCGUCUGUGAAUAGCCACUGCACUCCAGCCUGGGCAACAUAGAGAAACCCCAUCUCUA